AAACAAACAAUAUUAUCAAAUUAUCCUCUGGAGAGAUUAUCACAACGAGAAGUGUCAACCCGUGUCGUCGUCGUACUUAACUAACAGUUGGGGAAGUUGAGAUGGGCGAUUAAAUUGGUGCGUGGAUGAAAAUUGCAAUGAAAAUUUCCACAAGUAUUUAGAAGAGAAAAGUUGAUGCAGACCGGACUCGGGCCACAAGCCAACUGAGCUGAAGAGAAUUUCUCUGUAAAAUCUCGGGUGGAUAUGCGGGCAGAGAGAACACAGAACGCACUUUCCCCACUAAAACUCUGCCCAACUAACAACUAACUUGGGAGUGACUGGUGGAUAUCCAUCCACCCUUCUCAACUGACCCAACUUUCUCUUUUCUUGUGAAGAACUUGUGGAGGAAGUUGAGAUUGUUGUGAGUGAGUAACGAGUAUGUGAGGGUUUCGUCGUUGGAUUUCUCCUUCAGCAAACUUGUGCACACACAAUAUGCGUAUAAUGAUGUCCUGAAGGUGUACCUAAUUAUGAUCAGAUUUCGUUUCUUGGAAAACGUUCGUUGUUCAGUUCAUUCGACUACUAAUGUAAGAUAACAAAGCCUGUCAUACCGGAUUUGUUCCGUGUUUCGUUAUUUUAUUAUUAUUACCAGUUUACAAUUAUCUAUCUAGACAAGGAAGGUUUUACUUACGAAGGUUUUCAUAUCCUGUCGUAAAACUUUAAUUUUUUUGUAUGUCACUAAUAAAUAAUUACGAGGAGAACGGCCAAAUUGAGGACACUGGACAAUCAACCAACUAUAAUUGUGGUGGAGAAAGUUG